GUAGGUGGCAAGCGUUGUCCGGAAUUAUUGGGCGUAAAGCGCGCGCAGGCAGUUCUUUAAGUCUGAUGUGAAAGCCCACGGCUCAACCGUGGAGGGUCAUUGGAAACUGGAGAACUUGAGUACAGAAGAGGAAAGCGGAAUUCCACGUGUAGCGGUGAAAUGCGUAGAGAUGUGGAGGAACACCAGUGGCGAAGGCGGCUUUCUGGUCUGUAACUGACGCUGAGGCGCGAAAGCGUGGGGAGCAAACAGGAUUAGAUACCCUGGUAGUCCACGCCGUAAACGAUGAGUGCUAAGUGUUAGGGGGUUUCCGCCCCCCUUAGUGCUGCAGCUAACGCAUUAAGCACUCCGCCUGGGAGUACGGCCGCAAGGCUG
rnacentral:rRNA from 1 species